rnacentral:tRNA from 1 species
GUGGGCGUAGCUUAGUGGUUAAAGCUCUCGGUUGUGGUCCGAGUGACCGUGGGUUCAAAUCCCAUCGCCCACC